rnacentral:tRNA from 1 species
GGGAAGGUGGCUCAGUGGUAGAGUACUUGCCUUGCAUGCAUGAGGCCCUGGGUUCGAUUCCUUAGCACCCA